rnacentral:lncRNA from 1 species
GUUAGUCGACGUCCCGCUUUUUGAAAUCAUUGGUCAAAAUCUAGUAUCAUCUUAUUUCAAUAUAUACCACAAAAACCAGAAAGAUCAGAUUGAUUAGUUAGUAAUUAUAAGACUUUCAACUCUUAAUAAAAUCUCUCUAACAAACUCAACUGUUACAUUAGAGCCAAGAGCUCGAUCGGUCGGUGAAUAUCUCUCUAGAGAUUUGGUAUUGAAUUCUACAUACUUUUAUAAGCAAUCAGUUAUAUGAAGGAGGGGUCCUGCGUUAAAGCAUAACAUCUAGAGGUUUUAUAAUCUCAAAAUUUCCAGCAAUCAAAUCACGAUCAAACCACUCAACUUUUCCAAGAAUCUGACCUCCUUGGCGUCUUUCCGUUGAAAUCUCUGCACAACAAAUCUCUUUGGUUUCUUCUAUAGAAAACAAAAAAAAACAGUCUCUCACCGUAUUUCAGAGUCUUAAACAACUUUUGAACUGUUAUCACGGCCAACAGUUCUUCCAAUCCUUCGACUGCCUUCCAACACCUUUUCUUUGAAUCAUAUGCUAUUAACUUGUUCUCAAACAAAUCAUAGUAGUACAUAACAUCAUCAAUGAAACACGCAUGAUUCCACUUGUUCGAACUCAGCGUCUUGUCGGGCGUUUCCCAUUUAGUUUCAUUUGGGUCAUAUACAAAAUUCUUCCCAUAAAUCUUAUUAGCCAUCACCACACAACCAUACCUGCCUAUGACACUUCUUACAGGCUUGUCUAGAGUUGUCAUCCCAGGCUCCCACAUCCGUGUUUUUGUGUUGAAAACCACCACUACCACUGGUAUUUUUUUAACGUAAUUACAUCCAAUAACAUAUAUUUUGUCAUCGAUGAUUUCAGCUAUUGUUUCAAACCGGAACACAUGCGGCAUGCUCGGGAGUGGUUGCACAGUGUGAUAUCUACAGUCAAUGCUGUACGCAGUCGAUGUCAUAUUGUCAUAGUUGUCGUUGAUCACACCAAAAACAUAUAUCUUUGAACCCACUGCCACAAAGCUUCCACGUCGAGGCACAGCGGGAAGCCAAGGGAUAAGGGCCAAGCGGCUGUGUUUGCCGUUAGCUUUCCGGCAGAGAGUAUACAAACGGUAAUCCUUGUGGUCCCGGUUAUAGAGAACAACAUAGAGAAAAUGUUCGGUGCAUCCCAACAAAGAUCGUAUGGUGUAUAUAUCAGACGACGCAACAAGUCAACAUAGAGAAAAUGUUCGGUGCAUCCCAACAAAGAUCGUAUGGCGUAUAUAUCAGACGACGCAACAAGUGACCGGAAGUGCUUUGAAACAAGAGAGACUGUUGGAUAGUCGCAUCUCGGUACACGCGCUAAGAUGUUAAUGAUGAUGUCUUCAGGCAGUGACAUAAUCAUGAAUGGUUUGUUCAUAUCAACAAUGAGAGAGAGAGACAGAGCAAAUAUUGUGAUUGAAUCAGGAGAACUCAAGAAUAUAUGUUCAAGAAUCUCAUAUAUAACUGGGAGGGAAAAAACUAGGAGGAGAGAGAUCUCUUUGUAUUUAA